UACAGAGGUCCCAAGCGUUGUUCGGAUUCACUGGGCGUAAAGGGUGCGUAGGUGGUCGGAUAAGUCUGAUGUGAAAUCUCCGAGCUCAACUCGGAAACUGCAUCAGAUACUAUUCGGCUAGAGGAUUGGAGGGGGGACUGGAAUUCUCGGUGUAGCAGUGAAAUGCGUAGAUAUCGAGAGGAACACCAGUGGCGAAGGCGAGUCCCUGGACAAUACCUGACACUGAGGCACGAAAGCUAGGGGAGCAAACAGG
rnacentral:rRNA from 1 species